AUUGAACGCUGGCGGCAGGCCUAACACAUGCAAGUCGAGCGAGCGGCGGACGGGUGAGUAAUGUAUGGGGACUGCCCGAUAGAGGGGGAUAACUACUGGAAACGGUGGCUAAUACCGCAUACUGUCGGAUAACCCAUAUCGGAUUAGCUAGUUGGUGGGGUAACGGCUCACCAAGGCGACGAUCCGUAGCUGGUUUGAGAGGACGACCAGCCACACUGGGACUGGGACACGGCCCAGACUCCCACGGAGGCAGCAGUGGGGAAUUUGGGACAAUGGGGGAAACCCUGAUCCAGCCAUCCCGCGUGUGCGAUGAAGGCCUUCGGGUUGUAAAGCGCUGUUAAUCGGGAGACGGUACCGGAAUAGAAAGCCACGGCUAACUACGUGCCAGCAGCCGCGGUAAUAC
rnacentral:rRNA from 1 species